rnacentral:rRNA from 1 species
AUGGAAACAUGGACCACUCUCUCCGUACAGAAGAGAAUACUGCAGCCCUCACGGCAGAAGUACAAUGCGGCCUCCUCCGGCAAACCACCAAUCCGGCGACGACAACCUCAAGCACCGUCAAGCGAGUUCGGAGCACCCCGCAAAAGGACCACCAGGCACGCCAAGAGCACGACUAGCAGUCCGGCCUCCGCUCAAAUCCCAUCAAAGAAGCAUUCGUGCCACGCGUACACAAUUACGCACUUAAAAUACCAUGGGCACAGGCGGAGGCGCAGCAGUGGCUCAGUCAACAGUGCGGUAUCACCGCCACAUACCUACAUAACCAUUCCUUUCAUCUUUCAGGACAUUGCUUUACUGCAGCCUCUCCAGAAGAGCUGGAUUGUCGGACUUACAUAG